GAGAGUCCUGCUGCCGCCACGAAGGGCCCAUCCCGGCUCCCGUAGAAUCCAGCCGCCGCGUCCGAUUGGUUGGGCGGACCAAAACAACGGGCAUCACGUCACCUGAGGGGGGUGACCGGCCGCGGCGUGAGGCGGCGGGGGCGGCGCAGGAUCCCCCGCCGCGCCGCCCCGCCCCGCCCCGCGCAGGGAUCCCACCUCCGCCCCGCCGCGCCCGCAGGUAAGGGCUGCCCUCGCCCCCCGCGCCGCCCCGCCCGUCGCGGGGAGCCCCGCGCUGUGGAAACACGGGGGUUCCCGGAGGCGGGGAACGCGCUGCUCCCGGGAUCGCCCCCGACAGGAAGGGCCGCCGCGGCCGCGGCGGGUCUCCCCGGCUCCCCCCGCUCCCCGCCGCCGCUCACAUCUGCGCCGUCUUCGGAACAUGGGCGCCGCGCUCCGGAGCUGUCCAGCGGCGCCUCCCGCCCGCCGCCGCCGCCCUGCAAAACACAGCGCCGCGUUCGCUGCCCGCCGCCGCCCUGGCGGGCCUGCGCCUCCCGCCGUCCGCGCCGCGGCCUCGGGCCGGGGCCUGCGCGGGCCGCCGGAGGAAACCGGGACGCGGGAAUCCCUCCCCGGCACAUGGCGGGAAGCGGGGCGGGGGGCUCUUGUGCCGGCCGCGCCUGCCCGCUGAUGGAGAAGGGGCAGCCGGCCGGCGGGCUGCGAGGCCGCCGCCCGGGGCACUACAGUGGCUGGUUGAGGGGCUGGAGAGCUGCUCCGGCGGCUCAGCAGGAGCUUUACCGUGAAACGGGAUCGGUGCGGCUGAGUCGCUGCAUCUGGCGCCCGUUUCCUGGCACGCAAUGCCAAUGCAGUCCUGAGGCUGGUCGCCUGCUACCAUUUUGCCUUUUCCCCUUCCGUCCUUUCCCUCCCAAACUCUCGCUGAAUAAUUCAGUCCUGAAGCUCCUUCAGGCAGAGUAAUGGCUGAACCAGGUAGUCUCUUUUCUGCAUUUAUUUAAGGGAAGAUUCUUUCACGGAAGAACCAUGAAAACGGAACAAGAUAAAUACUGUUGAGCAAAACUGUAUCAAUAGCAAGAGGAACCUCAAUAGAUGCAGGAAAAAAAUGAUUUCUGAGAGGAAAGAACACUGGAACAUUUGAAGACACAGCUAGUGGCUAGUCAUAUGAAAAGCUCACGUAAUGACAUCCAAUGGACAUGCAACACCUACAGGCUACAAGAAAAGGUAUUAGAAAGCUAUUUUGGCUGUUAUCCUAUUUCCCUUACUCAUGCCAGACACCUACUAAAGUCACUGAGAAUUCUGCACUCAUAAAAAUGUCAAAAAAUACAGAAAGAUAGUAAUGAAACAAAAGGCAUGAAAAAAAGCUUAGGAAAUUCCAUUCUGUAACAGUAUUUUUAACUCAAACCGUAUUCUGCACAAGACUAGGAUUUUCUAGAAGGCACUAAAGGAAAUGGCCUUGUCCAGUUCCAAAAUUGCAAACAGAAACCUAGCUCAGCGUAUACACAGAAGAUGCUAUUCAGUGAAAGCAGGGUCACAUUAAUAAAAACAGAGGUAACACUGGCAGCAGUAGGGUAUUACGAGAUCAUUCAAAGGUAUCCAUGCAGCAAUAAAAAUGUUUAGUGAGACAACACCAAAAUGACUGCAGCACAGCUGCCAGGACAACGGCGUGGAAACUAACCAUAUGAGCCAUGUGUGUAAAUUACCUUUUACAUACCAUCUGGCAAGGUUUUGCUCACCAGAUGUCCCUGAUAUUCACCCCAGCAACUUCUGUUGUCAGGUAGUUCUAUGUCAUCACUGGAAUCCCACCCCUGCUGGACCUGUGCUAAUUUCAAAGACCUUUUGACAAUAUUCCACAGCAGUGGGGGGAAGGAGAAGAAACACUAAGUGACUCCAUGCAGAUAGUACAGCUACAUCUUGGAAGGAGGCACGCUUUACUGUUUCUACUUUUGAUUUUAUACUGUUCUGCUAAUCUACACUUUAUUCUGCUUCUCCAGCAUACCACCAAUGAAAAUGCAGAUUCAUUCCCAUUUUAAAUCUUCAUCUAUUAUCUGGACCAUAUAAGGUACAAAAGAUAAGGGCACUGGAUUGACAGCUCUAAAAUGCUAAACAAAAUUUUCCGACAUGGGGAUGCCUUAAUUUGUGGGGAUGCAGCUUAAGAAAUAUCUGUCUAAGAAACAUCUUGCUGCACACCUUACCUUGCAUCAAGGAGCCUUCCUCAAGGAAUGGAUUUUUUUCCAUUUUUUGCUAACAAAACUUUUUAUUACUAUUAAACGUUGAAAAUAUUGCAUGGGGUCCACAAAACAGCCAGGAAAACUAUCAUUUUUCCAACCUUUCUGGAUAUUUUUGUAGUACUUGGAGAUCACACAAACCUGAUGAUUUCCUUUCUUGCCCCUACUUUUUUCCUCAUUAUCAAGCAAGGGAUACUGCCACAUGUGAGGAAUUUCUUUGCUAGCUAAUUGCAUCAGCAUGAAUACUAUUUUGCACAGCUGUUACAGGUGCUCAGCAGGUGACUAUUACAUAAUGUUUAAUCUGACUAUCUUUUAUUAUUCUCACAAAUCGGUGCAGUUUUGUAACAGAACUUUAACUGAGUACAUUUACAUAAAUUACAACAUCAUGCAAUAUUUCUACUUCAGCCUAUGCAAUAGUAAACACUGACAUUGUGUGUUGGGUUAUCAAGUGUGUAAGCUUAUGUUUAACCUUAACUAUUUGAAGAAUUUUGACCCAUUGAGUGUGGUGAGACAGUGCUUAUACCUAAAUAUAAGAUCAUACCUUGCGAAGUUGGUGGUGUGCAAAUUGAAGAUGUUAGCAGCACUUUUCCUCUCCAUAAAAUCUGUCAUUUCUGAUCCAUGUAGCAAUUGAUUCUAAAUAAUUAAAUUUAAUUUGCCCCUAUUUGAAAAAUAUUUUUUCCAUUGAUCCUUUGCUAUCACUGCUUCCAUUUUACCAUGAGAACGUAGUUACUAUGGAUUUGCACUGGCGUUGUAUUUGGAAAAUUCAUUUUAGUUUACUUAAUAAUAUGAUCCCUUAUUAGGCUGUAAAAUGUGAAAGAUGGACUUUGCUUUUAUCAGGUGACAAAUGUGUGGUGUGUAUGAUUGCUUUCCAAUGCACUGUAAUUCUUCCAGUCGGUAGCCCUCCUAAUUCAAAACAAGCAUAAAGUGUAAGGCUGCUCCUUUGGUUGUGUUUACUGGGGCUUUUUUUUUUUUCUGCAGUCCUGAUACCCCGAAGGAUUCUACAGUUUCCACAACACAUUGAAAUCCCUUGUCACAAAAGUCCAUUUGCUCGUUGUUGUCAUCAUCAUACCUAAACUCUUUUGGAUACAUUCGUAAAACACACAAAUGUCAAUGUAUGUUGUGGUCCUGUUUAUAGAAAUCACAUUUCUUAAACAAAAAAAGGAAAAUGUAUACAUUUGCAGAACAAACGGAAGCAGGUAAAAUAUGAAAGGCAAUGUCCAAUUUUAUGUUACUCACAGUCAUAGUUUCUACUGGAUAUACACUUAGUUGUAUUUGUAUGGUUGUUAUUCUAAGUUAUGAGAUGGGUGACUUGAGGAAUGAGUUCGGGAGAGAUGAAUGGGGCAGUCACUGAAGAAAGAGCAUCUCACUCCUUCCUUCCUAGCUAGGUUUAUCUGCAGCACCUUAUUUUCUCCACUCCCCUUCCUUCCCCAUUACCCCUCCUUCUUGCCCGUCCCUACUGCAGAGGAGAUGAGACACUCUUACAGUACUUGACAGCACCUUUGGGUCAGGUUGUGGGAGACAGGCAAGAGUUGUGCGGCUCAGCUUUUGUCAAAGUAGGGAGUUAUUCAAGGCAUCUCUGCUUCAAGAUGGCUCUGGCUUGAUAAGCUCAGCGAAUAAACAACUGUUUGAAGAGAUACUCCAGAAACUGCUGGGAAGAUCUAGGAAAUUUUCACUCUCUGAAGUAAAAUUCUUUGCACUUCUCUACUUUAUCCCUUAUAUUUCCAUACUACUUGACUGAAAAAUAACUAUGUUUUUGACAAAAAGACUAGGCAGUUUUAAUUACAAAAACUAAGUUUCAGGAUAAAGAGCUGAAGACUUCUCACAUAGCCCGUAAAACCUUAUCCCAUUCAGAAAACAUUUCUGUAGAAUGUUUUCUUCCUUCCAUUCUGUAGAAUGCUUCCUUCCAGCUGGCUAAAAGCCAUAUCUGCAACCCAAUAUAUCAGAUUAGUAGCGCUUGUAUUAGCAAAGUGACAUUUAAAAAUACAUAACACUGUAGACUGCUUUAAAAAGUGAACAUAACCAGACCAUUUCUCAAAGUGAAAACUACAAUUUUUAAAAAUUCUGCUUACAACUUCACACAUUCAAAAGAUAGUCUACAUUUGAGAAGUCUGAUGCAUAAAUGGGAAACAUGUGGACAAAAUGGUUUCUUCACUCCUGACCAGCAUUUUAGAUUCUUUACCUUUUUAGAAGGUCAAAACCAAGUUUGAAGUGGAAAAGAUCUUCAGCUUUAAUUAUGAAAUCUCUGCUGUAACUGUUAUAAAGUAUGUCCUAGAAGUUCUUUUUCAGACUAAUUUUCCUAAUAUUAAAAAUGUAUCAGUGUUCACCUGACCACCUCUGCAGAGGUCAAAAACGUGGAUUAUAGGAGUCAGCAACCCAGUAUGCAGAGCUUGAGCUAGCCAGGAGUAUGAACUGAGGACAGCGAUGCAACCUGCAGACCAACACUUAACUGAUUGAUGACUCUCCUAUUCAGAACUCUUUUCUGAUGGGGUAGGAGGCUAAGCAUUUUCUUGCAAACACCAUCAGCAGUUGUGUUCUCAUCUUAAAUGUAAGCUAAUUUCUUCUCCACAUAAACACAGUUGAGGAAAAAGGCUGUUUUCUGCUCUGCUGGGCUGGAUGGAUUUGCAUGCACUGUCCAUCUCGGAGAGCAGGUGCGAAAAAUGAAGGUGUAUUGUAGGCGGGGAAAGGGACAACCAGUUGUUUUCCUUACAGUUGUCUAGUCAUGAAGUGCAAGAUGAUUCAUUGGGUCAGACAGAACUAGAGUACAAAAGACACACGGAUCUAUCUAAACAAAAAACAGUCAUUCUUGUCAGAGUAGGAGCAGGAAUCCCCCUCUAAGAAAUGAAAAUAGACCCUUUCACAGAUUCUUCUCCAAGAGCAUUGUGCAAAUACCCACCAAACCCCUGCAACAUCUACCUCUGUCCCCUUUGGAGGAGCCACGAGAGCCAGUUGACCAUCUCUGGACUUACCCAUGUUCUGGCUUCUGUGGCUGUUGGGGGCAUAGUAAGUGUUAGAGUGCUUAGGGGCACACACGGCACUUUGAAUCCUAGAUCUUAAAGCUACUGUCAGAAUUGGCCUGAAGCCUUGCGGCUCAAAUGGCAUUUGCUAGAAAUUUCUAAGAGUCUCUAAGUGUUUAUUCUUACCUUCAAGAAUCACUUAUACUUUAAAAUCCCUCAAACAGUUGUCACUUGUGCAUGAAAAUUCAGCAUUUUAUCUCUUAAGUAUCUAGGAAAAGGAGGAUCCACUGCAAUCUAAUGUCAUCAUUUUAAUUUGUCAUUCACUUAACAUUCAGCUGUCAGUUUGGAUGAGAUUUUGUCCUGCUGCCCUUCCCAUGCACAUGCUGCAUAACUGACAGGACUGUCAUUCCAAGAGGUGAAGCUGCUAUGUGACUGAUAGUUUAAAGCAAUUUUAAGUGUCUGCAUGUGCUCUUUACUAACUCUGGAAAGCCUCUUCAUAUUUGGCAAUUUCUUUUUCAAAUUCAUCAAGCUUUUUAUGAUUUAUGCUUUAUUAACAUGUUUUGUGUAGCAGAAAAAGGAAAAACUACUUUAUAUUUGAUUUAUGGUAUCCACAAUGUUAUUUAUAACAUCAGAAGUGUGUAAUUAAUGAAAAAAAAGAAGAAAGGUGCAUUGUAAGAGGUUUGGCUGUGUUUAUUCACAAAAACUGCCUAGACUAUUUUUACCCUAGUCUGCUCAAAACUUACUCUUUAAAAUCCUGAAGAAAACUUACCAAAUCAGUAUUCAGUGGUAGCUAAAAGGACAUACACAUUUGUCCCUCAAAUUUUCCUAUAUUCUAGACCCAGUGGCUAGUUUUACAAAAGUCAGUAGUUUCAUUCUACUUUGUUUUAUAUUUUUGACUGUUGUGAAUGUAGACAGGAUAUCUAAUUUACUAUUGAAUGGUAUGACUUUGCAGAAAGUACACUCCAGAUUGUACUUGCCUAUUAGAUUAGUCAGUGCUACCAUGCAAAAAAAAAGCAAUAUCAAAAAAAAUAGGUAAGUUUGCAGAACUGUGUGCUGUGGCAAUUCCAUAAAGUCUAGAAGUAUUUAUGAUGAGGAAUAAAAAUAACAUACUGCUAAAUACGUUUGCGAUGCAAAUUAAAAUGAACUGUCACCUUUUUGCAUGUCUGGUUGAAACUGCAGUUCCUCCAAAGAUGGAUAAUCAUUUGGGAUAAUUUUCCCCUAACAGAUACAUUAAAAAAAAGGCCUGUUCCCAAGCUCUUAUAUGACAGAAGUAAAUAAUCCGAAAUUUUACUGGUAAAAAUAAAUAAAAACCCAGCUCCGCUUUCUCAAAUAAUCAGCUGUUAUUCCGUGAUCCCAGCUCACGACCUUCUUAUGUUCCCUUCUGUGCGCGAAGGAAUUAGAACAGAAAAUGUUGUAUUUCUCCUUCUGAGGCAGUUACAUUUAACAUUAAAUCAGUCACAGAAUGCAGUCACACCUUUGAAGUCUGGCAGCUAAUACUGAAAGCUGGAAACCAUCGUUCUAUUCUUGUACCAAUGAAUAGCUAUCUACCCAGUCCAAAAAAAUACCCGAAGUGUGGCACAAGAAUGUCUCUGUUUAGAACACCUUUUGCUGCCCCGCGGGGCUUUUUCCUCCAGGCAAAGCCAGAAGGGCACUGAAAGCGAGCAGUGUCCUGAGUGCCUGAGUGACUUAGUCUAACAAUAGGCCUACUGAAAAAGGGAGAGAAUAAUGCCACCUACUACUAUCAAAUUAUGUGUUCAUCUAUUUCCCUUUUAUUGCAACAGCUAAACCACUUUUUUUUUUUUCCAUUUUAAUUACAUUAUAUGACAUGUAGGAUGUUUCUGGUUUCAUCAGGGAUGAAAAAGACCUCUUAAAUCUAAUUUGAUGUGAACCUAAACUUCCUAAUUACCCUGCUGAAAAAUAAAUUAUUCACAGUUUUACUCCUUCCAACUUUGUGCAGCUAUGUUUCAAGUGUAAUGCUUUCAUUUCUACAGGCAAGUAUUUACACAGACCCAAGGCAUGUGCCAGUGAAUGUUUGUUCAUGUCUUUCUACAAAAAAUCUCUUUGUAGAUGUAAAUGUAUAUUUUGUAGAUGUAGCCUGAAUGUUUGCUUUUGAAAACUGUCCUAGAAGACAGUGGCAGUUGUAAUUGCAGAAUCCAGGUCAGGAUGAUAAACCUGCAGCAAGUGAAAUGGAGGAAGCAUUAAUAAAAAGCCAUACAAUUGUAGGUGCCAUUUUCUAGUGAAAUGUAAUGGCUUACAUCUGCAGAAAGGUGGCCGCUGUAUGUUAGGCACAAACUCUGCCAAUAUAUUUGCAUCUACACGUGCAGCUGUAACUUCAGGGCUGCAAGCAGGCUGGGAAGUUAGGUGCUAAAGCACUGGAAAUGGAUGCCCAGUUCCCACACUGGAGGGAAGAGUGACACUUCCACCUAUUAUGAGGCAAAGCAUGAACUUGCAUGAAAAUGACCCUUAGUAUGCUCAUAAGCAGUUUAUUUGUAAGUGGCUAAAAGACAUUCUAGUGGAUCAGUCUUGCUUUUUGGUCUCUGAUCUGUACUAUAAAAUAUCUCAUGAGAGUGGAGCUAGAAAUGAAAAUAAGACAGCAGUCACGGUGAAGAAAUAUGGGAACUACAGACAUUAACUGUGUGAGCUGGAAAGAAAGGGAAUAAAAAAAGCUGCAAUUCCAAAAUAGAUGUGACAGCAGAUGUUACCAAAAAAAAAAAAAAAUCUGAGGCAUGGGAAUUGAAAAAUGUAAUUGCAAGAAUGAGAGGUGGUAUUUUGGCCAAAAAUACAAUAUACAUAGAAAAGAAAUUGUCUAAAUUCAAUGUGCCUCCAGCACUGAAUUUCUUAAAAUGCAAGAACAUCAGUAAUUAAAUGAUAAUGAUACAUUCUGGGAACAGAUUUUAUCCACGUAGAAUACAAAUAUCAUUUUGGCCUAAGUCCUGAACAAUGAAAGUUGGCUUGCUCAUGUAAGAUACGUGCUCUUUUAAGAACAGUUCUACCAGCAAGAAGAUCUUGUCAUCUUUACAAACUUGAUCUAUGUCCUCAGCAGAUGGAGGAGGUGGCUGACACAUCCCUUCUUCUGGUGCUUGGCCUUACAAGGCUGGUAAGGCCUGCAACCACCACGCCUGCCCUCUUCAUGAUCUGUGGGGAGAAGGCAGCACCCAGUCUCUGCAUUUAGAUAAGUACCCUAUCCCUGGUGGGAGCUCAUCAGAGAUGCAGUAGACAGGGCUUGGCAAUAGAUACAGGGAUAAUGUGACCCCCCUGAUAAUGCUUACAAGGGCAGGGGAACUGGGAUGUCUUCAAGCUGACUCUGAGUGGCUUGGGUGGUUGGUGCAGAAAGAUGGGUCCAUGUGGAGGGAGGGACAAGCAUAGCUUCUGGUAGGAGCCCCUUUGGUUCUUCCUGUAGGGGAGGGGCUGCCUGUCUGAUCUCAGCUCUGCCCCAUUGUAGUUUUAGCAGUGAUGUCUAGGAGAUCAUCGGUUGAGUCUCUCUUCCAAGGUCUCUUGUUUGAAAUGCUAGAUAUAAAUCUAAAUUGAUAACCCAACAUCUUGUAAUCUCUCCUAGCUAAAAACUCAGGCCAAGCAAGACAGUAAUUUGCAAAGGUUCACCUUUUAUGAAAAAAAAAGAAUCCCAUUAUAAAUUUUGAAUAUUCCAAUUUCUGAAAUUUCAUUUACUUGCUGCUAACUUUUCUGGUAAGAGAGAGAAGACCAGAUCCUGCUCUUUUUUCUGUAACAUAUUUUGGCUUUAGGCCCUCUUGUUUAAAACACAUUUUAAAACAUUUUUUUCUUAUAACAUUGUGGGGUGCAGAUACUUGGAAAGCCGCUCCAAAAAGCUAAGAAGUAAGGAACACAUGUAGUAGGUUUUUUUCACAAAUGAUUUCUAUGCCUUGCCAACUGAAAUUACUGCUUUCUCAAACUCCUUUGGUACUAAAGUGCUCUUCCUGAAAGGAUAUGCCCAGUACAGCACUUCAAAGAAGGCAACUACUGCAUUGCCUUCGAAGUUAUUAAGCUAUUUUCCUUGUUGCUGUUUGUCCUAUCACUGAGGCAGCUUUGGCUGCAGCUGCGUAUAAAAGCUGUUCACUGGGCUACCUGCAGUGACAGUUAAUAUUCCUCCCUCAGGUGACUUUGUAAAACAAGUUUAAAAAUUGUUCAUUUAUUACUACAUUAAAGCAGUAGUUUCCUAAGGUUCCUGAUUUCUUAUUAUUUGUUGAAGCCAAGCUUAUCAAGAAUGUCCAAGCAAAAAACUCAUUAAUGACCAGCCCACUCAAAAAUACUUUUUUUCUGUGAAGGCAUGUGCAAAGAUUAACCCACCUUACUUUUCAGGAAACUUACAAAUGUGUGAGUUUUUGUAAAUGUAUGUGUGACAGAGCACUGUAGUCAAGGUAACAGAUUAGUUUCUGCUGUACCUGAGAAGAAUAUGUCUCAAGCACUCAGCAAGUUGUACCAGACUCAUGGAGGGAAUCUCCCAAAUCUAUUGGAAUGUCUUAGGUUACACAUUUUGCCAAACUGACAAUUAGAUCAGGUGCUGAGCAAGUCUGAAAGUUAAGCCAAUUAAUAUGAUACUGUCAGAUUUAGUAGUCUUUCUUAAUUCUAAUACAAAAGUUUAUUUUUUGGUUCUAGGCAAAAGAAGGGUAUGAGUAUUCCAGGUCUAAAGAAAACAGUGGCACAUUGGCUACUUUUCAUAGUGGCAUUCAUUCUCUUGUAGCAUUAAUGUGAGAGUAUUAAAUAGAUAUAGACAUCAUAUUAAAAAGUAGGAUUGCUGGAAUUACGUGAAUUCAGGGAGGAGAGAAUAAAAGAGGUGAUAAAUACUGAAAUCAGAUGUGCUGGAAAACUGGAAGGUACUUUCUCGGUAGCAUAUGACAGUGGACACAAAUAAGACAUGGUAGAUCAGAAGAACUUUCAAAGAGAAGCCUGCAAAAUUGGUUUCUAAAAUUUGAAGAACUCUGCACAAUAUUAUUUGGUUUUACUACCUGCUGUAGUGGUCUUGCAUUUUUGUGUAAAAAGGUUGCAUAAGUAUGUUUACUGCAUGAACAUGUUCUAUAUGUUCUUGAUUGUAUGUGAAUGAAUGAAACAGGCAAGGGGAUUCAAAGCAGAAGAUUGUCUCUACUUCUUGUAGAAAGCAAAUCCUUAAUUUAGUUUUAUAUAGUUGUCUGGCACAAUAAAGCUUCUUAGGAAUCUCCAAAAAUAUAGUUACCUGAUAACAAUUUUGUGUAAGUCUAGAAAUUUCCUAUGCUAGGUGGUCAUCCCUUUACACAUAUUUUACUACAGAGAACCUCUCUCAUUUUGCCUAACUGAAGGAAAAUUAAAGAAUAAGGUCACUGAUUAAUUUUUAAGAUGUUUAACAUCAAUAGGUUUAACUCUGAAUAAAUAGUUAAUGGUAAUGAAUAAUCAUAUUUGCCUGAUAGCGUUUUUUCCCUACAACUCCUGCAUAUAGGAAUAAUAUUUAUUGCAUUACCAUUUCCAGUCCAUCAGGGAUGUAAACAUCCACUUUUUACAAUAAACUAGAAUUAUUCUCCUUUGACAAGAGGAAUGUCAGCACUUUUAUAACUUGAGUAAAAUAUCUUUUCAUUGUCUUCAUUUUCUCUGAAUACCUGCAUUCUCUGAGUACCUCAAGAGUGAACUUUUGUGGGGUCAUUUUUUUGCCACUAAAUUCCCCAUAUUCAGGCAGAUUUUUCCAGUGAUCCAGUUUAGCACUAAGUACAUGAGCAAACUGGGAUGAGAAUGUGUCAUCAAGCUGAUACUUGAGAAAUUAUACAGGAUCUGUGACAAACAGAGAGCCAUCCUGGGCUUUAUCAAAAGGAGCAUGGCCAGCAGGCUGAGGGAGGUGAUUCUCUCCCUCUGCUCUGCUCUGGUGAGACCCCAUCUGGAGUAUUGCAUUCAGCUCUGGGACAUUCAACAUUAGAAGGACAUGGUCCUGCUGGAGCAAGUCCAGAGGAGGGCCAUGAAGAUGAUCAGAGGGUUGGAGCACCUCUCCUAUGAAGACAAGUUGAGAGAGUUGGGCUUGUUCAGCCUGGAGAAGGCUCCAGAAAGACUGUAUAGCAACCUUCAAGUAACUAAAGGGGACCUACCAGAUAAUCGAAGAGGGAAUUUUUACAAGGGCAUGUAGUGAUAGGAAAAGGGGUAAUGGCUUAAAACUGAAAGAGGGUAGAUUUAGAUUAGAUAUAAGGAAGAAAUUCUUCCCCAUGCGGGUGGUGAGACACUGGAACAGGCUGCCCAGAGAAGUUGUGGAUGCACCAUUCCUGGAAGUGUUCAAGGCCAGGUUGGAAGGGCCUUGAGCAACCUGAUCUGGUGAAAGUGUCCCAGCCCAUUAAAGAGAGGGCCGACUAGAUGAUCUUUAGUGUCCCUUCUAAGAAGAAACUGCCAGAAAAUUAUCCAGAUUAAGAGCUCUACAAUAGCUCACAAUCUUAUCUUUGAAACCGUGUUUACCUAGUUUUAGAAAUUAAUUUUAUAAGGUGUCAGACAAAUACAUGUUAUAUAUGCUGGAAUACCCUCUCUCAUAUCAACAUUUGUGUGUUUCGAAUAGCUGCUCAGUAGCUUACAUAUUAUAAAUUCCUGGUUCCAGAAUAUUUCCUACUAGACAAAUUUUGUAAUCAUGAUUUACAUUAUUUGUCUCUCACCUAAGUAUAUCUUUACAAUAACUGUGAAAAAUGAUGAAAUCUAUUAUACUAAAACAUAAGUGAUACAACUCUAAAGCAUUUAACCAGUGAAACUCGUCACUACUGAACACCCACACAAUUCCACAGAGCUUCACUUAACCUCCAUGACAGGAAGUAGAGGUUCGAAAACUGUGUGCCACCUCAGUGAUAUAAAUAAAUGCUAUGUUUUUCAACACUAUGACAGUUGUUGGAUAUCUAGCCACUCAUAUAAUUCAGAGCCUUUAGUUGCCAAUUACCACUAGAAACUUUGCACAAUACACUGGAAGAGUCAUGUAACUGUGAAAUCGAGAAGCGAAAUGUGAACUUGAUCUAGCCAGGCAGCAACUGCCUGGCACUGCAUGAAAUAAGAUGCCACCAUACAGUACACAGUAUAGGCUCCCAGAUGCAAACUGUUUCCUGGGGCACAGUAUUUAUCUCCAUUCCCUGCAAAACAGAGGGGUGGUAGAAAAGGGAGGAGGAGGAUGCAGUGGUGCCUGUGCCAUGUUUCACCUGCUCAAUACAUGUCCAAGAUGCAAAACAAAUAGAGACAAUAUCUGAAGUGCAUCUCUUAGCUCAAUGCUUUAGCCAUUAAGCUAGAUGUUUUUUUGAAAUAACACUCUUUACAGAAUACGCUUUAAAUGCUCAUUAGUACAGGGACUGGAAUCCAGCCUUCCAAGUCUCAAAUUACUUCCUCAGCCAUUAGUCUGUAGAGCUUUGUGAUGGCUAUUUAAUUAUUCUAUUCAACAGUAAGAGUAAUUGCGAAAACCUUACCCUAUAUUCUGGCAAUUAGAGAGUUCAGCUCAGAGGGAAUUAAGAUUAUAUCACACAGGAGAGAUAUACAGGAUGGUCUCUUGCAUAAUAGAGCACAGCCCUAGCCCCUAAGAUUGUUUAAUAAGUGAAUAUGUGGGAACAGGUGGCAGCACUGGAGUUGGCCAUGAUGAUGAAAAAGGUAGAAGAAAUACUGAAGAUCAGUCUGUUCUGGAGACAUAGACACAAGCUGGGGCCUCACCUAAUUGUUACAUGAAAGACUUGAUUCCUGUCCAACCCCAAAACCAAGUGACUUAAGAAUUUAACUAAUAGAAGGGAAAUAAUCUGUAUAAAUAAGCAGCAGAUAUGAUGGAGGCCUUGAAGCCUUGAGUCCUCCUCUUACAUCUUUCAACAAGUCUCCCAUACAGAAGGGAUCCAGACAGGCCAUUCGAAUACCUAUUCCAUGUUGAUUUCUCAGUAAAAGAGGAUAUGCGAAAAACAAAUACAGGACAGAGUAUCAGUGAGUAUUUACCUAUGCAUUUGGUGAUUUGAGAUGAACUAACUGAAUUACUAACUGCAAAAUAUAUAACCUCUUUCUGAAGACCACAUCACCACCAGACAGCUAGCUGAUGGCCAGCAUGAUGCCAGGUUUCAUGGGAAGGUGACACUAUAGACCCAUAAACUUGAUGAUGUGACUGCAAAACUGAGUAAAAACUAUAAUAAUAAAAGAUGGAAGUAAUACACACAGGGAUCAAUAUGAUUUUGUGGACGAAUCAACUUUUUUUUCUUCCUCUUAAGAAGGGGUCCUAUCUAAAAGUCCAGUGUAUUUCAUGAAGAAAUAACCACAUUUUUGUUAAAAAAGGAGAACCAUUUCAUACACUUUGAUUUUCAAAAGGCGGUUUAGUGAGGCCCUGAAAUCAAGUUGUCCUUGUAGUAAAUAAUAAUCACUCUUUUUCCACUGUAUAUUUUUUAAGCAUUAAACUAGACUGUUACUACAUUAUUUUGUUUACUGAGGCAUAAUAGCAAGCCACUUCAUCAAAAUUUUUCAAACUCAUUAAUUCUAACAGUGUUUUCUCUGCGUAUACGCUUUAAGAUUAUAUUUGUAAAUACUAAGAGGAUGCAUAGCAGCCCUUGGAAUCUCACUGCUCUUCCACCAAGGCCCUACUGUAAAUACAGUAAAAAAAUGAAAAUAGCAAUUGAAUAUGAACAAACCUUGAAUUAAAAAACAGCAUAUCUUUAUUUUGCACUUUGUGAGUGUGUGAAUCAUGUGGCAGGAAUACCCCUGCUGAAAUGACUAGGUGACUAAUCAGCAGGCCAAGAAGAGAGACUGCUCCAUUAAACCAUUAAAGGAACUAAAUCCUGAAAAAGCUUUUUUUGCUUUGAUUUUAAGGGAAGACUACUCAGGAUAAUCAGAGCAAUUAGAUUUUAAAGUGAACAAUAAAUAGCCUUUAUUCAAAAGUGAUAGCUUCAUCAAGGAUGAUACACAGAAACGUUUCUCCUCCUCUUUCAUACAGUGUAUUUUUUUCUGCCUUUCCCUGUCAUCCUAUGUGCAUAUAGUAGCAAUAGCUUGAGUUUUAUACAUUGCGGGCUGAUCUAAUUUCAAAAAAAGGUGGAGAAUAGGGUCUUUGAGUUACUUUUUGGCCGACAGCUGGUCCAUACUUUUAAUGCAACAUUUUUCUUCAUCUUCAAAAAAGCAAUCUUAUAACUAAAAUCUUUUUGUCAUAGGGAAAAAAAAAAAAAAAGAAGUUUCAGAUGUUAAGGAUUUUUUUUUCCUUUCCCAUUGCACUCUAUCUCCUUCAGUAAACUGGAUUUGGGAAGCAGUUUUAGCUUUCAAUAUUGAUUUCAGUUAUACAAAAAGGGAAGACACCGAAGGAUUACUGAAAGAGAAACAGGAAAAGAGGAACAGUGUUGAGAAACGCUGAUCUUACCAAAAGAGAAACACCAGUGUACUGAAGAUGUUCAGUUAAUGAAAGAUAAGCCAAAUUCACUUUGUAUAUUCAUUUCUCCUUUGAAUUCCCUCUCCUUCAUCUAACAGGAAUAGCAUUAACAGUCUACAUGAAAAUAAUUGUGUACAUCUUGUGACCUUGAGGAAGAAUAAAGGAGAAAUAAAGAAACUGAACUUCAACAUUUGCAGCUGGAGUAUUUAUAUCCAAUCUAUAAAUAUAUAGGACAUUGUUUUGUUCUCCCUUUGUUUUAUUGUACUCUCCCACAUGGCUAAGCAAAAAACAAAAAAGGAUCUAUUUUAGAUUUAGUUACAGCUUGCGGCACUCAGUAUUGUGGAAAAGACAGCUUUCCACUUCAGUACUGCUUUUCAUAAUAUUUGUACUUUGCAGAUGAGUUACAAAAGCUUUGAUUUUAAUUUGGGGGAGAGGAAUUGGAAAUUACUGAGGAAUCAGAGAACUGGAUAAUCCUUCUAGGUCUCUUCUUCAUAAACUGGAUUGAGAGCUGGGUGACACAGUGUGUUUCUUAUAGCAUAAUACAGAUAACCAUACCUCGUGUUAAUUUGCUUAAUUCAUUGGUCUGCUUCCUGAGAAGUGCUUUGCUAAGGAAACUAAUCUUUCUAUAUCUUUUAAGCCUUUUUUUUUUUUUUUCAGAUACAGCGUUAAACUGCAGCUGAUUCGAGGAGAAAUAUCAAUCCCUAUGUAAAAUCCCUGUCAGAGCUGUGUUUGAACCUGCCUUUUAGUAUGCUGUUUUCUGAAUUAGGGAAGCCAAAUUCCUCACCUCAAAAUCAAAUAUUCAAUAGGAUCAAAUGGCUGUAACAGUUAAGUGAAAAGAUAUUAAAUUCAACACGUGCUAGGUCAAACCUCUAUGUACAGCAACAUCAGCUACUCAACCCUCUCUGUAUCUAUCACGUUUAGCACACUAUGUUAUGAAGCCACUUUGGUGCCACAGUGCAGAGCAUUACAAAAACCUAACUUUCAGGUAGUGGAACCGAGCCUUAAGCACUUAGGCUCCCUGUGCAGGAGAAAGAGGCACUUCCAAACACGAUCCACAAGAACUAACUAAUAGGUAAAUAUAAGUAUAAAAAUGUACUUUGUUUGUGCCUGUUCCCUAGGUUAGUAAGCAUCAAAGGUGAGCACCUCUCUCUACUUUGAAUUCAGAGCCUGAAACCUCUCCUGAAGCCUGAAACCUCUCAGUGUAAAAGAAAGAGGGAAACAGGAACAGCAUCUUCCCACCUACAUCAUAGUUUUGGGAUUAGAAACUCAUCUCCUACCUUUUGGAAAAUCUCCCAGACAAAUAUUUUACUGUUUGUAUCUCUCCCGUGCCAAAGCAUUGAAUAAAGUCUUUGAGGAUAUAAAAGAAAAUAAGUGUGACUAUACAGCAUACAGGAUCCAACAUUCAGUGAGGCAGGGAUACCUGAUGUCCAAGACUCAAUAUUUGCCCUGUAGCAGUCCAGAGCAUCACCUCCAUCUCCACUUCAAGAUGUGUUUUGAACAAAGCAGUGUCUGCAGUUACAUUUCAUGAAAAGUGCAGUCCUCUAUAUUUUGCACAACCUGUGCUGUAUGAAAGUCUAACAGACCACUACCUCAAAGACGCUGAUGGAGUAAUAUCUAAUUUCUGCAUCCAGGUGAGAUUAUGUGUUAACUGUUCAGCAAAGAUAAGACAAUGCUUCUUGGUACAGGAAACAUUUAGAGGCAGAACCUAAGGCUGGUGUGGAUUAGGUUCUAUGGAUUAGCUCUGAACAGACUCCGGAAGAGCUCCCAGAUGAAAAUUAGUCUUUGUGAAUAUUUGUCAUGUUUUGCUGGUUGCUUUCAGGUGGACAAGGAGAAGAAAGGGUAUAAAAAGCCCUACCAUCCUGUGUAUCUAUGGACUGACACAACAGGAAAGCACAGCUGCAGUCUUGAGCUGCCUUGUGCUGCCAUUUCUUGGCAUGCCUACACCUCUCCAGUGAUUCAGAGUCUGCCUACGUGUCCCAUGUGACUGGUCCCUAAUAAGAAAGAAAAGACAAAAUAGCUGUCGUUCAUUUGAGGUCUCUUUUUUUGUGAUUCAUCAAGAAAAGCUUUAGGAUUUUGUAAAAAUAUGUUCAAGUGAGAUGGCUACAUCUCAACAAUGAUUCUGUCUCUGCUAGUGACCCCACAGGGUUGAAUUUUAAGUAAUUCUGUGUAUUUUACUAUAUUCAUCUUUCUAGCUGCUUUUUUUUUCCCCCAUGAGAAUUGUAGAUAUGUUAGUGCAAUAGAUACAAAAUGAACAAGCAAAAUUGUUGCGAGCACAUUAUUCUCAGCUAGGAAGCACAAAUUGCUUGUCCAGCCAGCUUAGGUGAGUCCCACAGCCUUGGUCCCUGCACUUACAGUCUCAGGGUGAGCAGCAGAAGGAAGGAAGCCCAAGUCUGUCUGACCCCAUUGGUAUAAAAAUGCCCUAAGUCUCACUGCUCUCCAAGGCUUCUGUCUUAACCAAGCAUCCUCUUGUAGUAACUUGUGAUUCACGGUGUGGAGUUGCCUUUCUGAGGUAAGAACCUCUCUCCUUUUGGGGAAAAAAAAAAAAAAAAAGCUGUCAAAAAAUAAAGAUAAAAUGCAGUUUAGAACAGGUUUGGGGAGGUUGUGGUUUUUUGUUGGUGUUUUUGGUUUUUGUGGUUUGUUUGUGGUUGGUUUUGUUUGGUUUGGGGUUUUUUUGCAGAACUUGGAUUCCACAUCUGCUCUGUGUAAGGUAAUUCUCAGGGAGAGCACAGGUCACCUUGGUCUGAGUGACAGAUGGCACCCUCCGGCUUUCCUCCUGAAGCUAGCCCACAACUUGUAAAGAAAACAAAAUUCAGACUGAUUUAAUAUUUCCUUGCUUGUUCUUUCAUAAGCAAUUAAAGCAAAUGCAUUUAAAGUUUUUAGUAAAUGAAGAAUAGCAGGUCAAAAAUACAUAUUAGCAAUUACUGAAGUUGACUAUAUAUAUACCUUAUGUUAUCAGCUAUAGAAAUCACUUUUUUCCAGUUGGUAAAAAAGUUGGACCUCAUCAUCCUUGUCAAACUAAUAAGAGUAUGUUUCUUGAUUCCUUUUCUAUAUACUUUUCAUGACUUCUGCUGUGUAGUCACAGGAGUGCAGGUAUGUGUAACUACAAAUACAUGGAAGACAAAGAAAAUGUUUACUUAACAAAAUCUUACAAACAGACAGAAGUAUGUAAAAAGUUGGAUCACCACCUGAGUAUUUUAUUUGUGUUGUUCUUUGCAAGAAACAGUGGUGAUGCAGCAUAAUACAGCUGCAUAAUGAAAGCUAGAAAUGCAGGCAUUUAGAAUGCAUGGAAGAUGUUACUGUAAUGGUUAUUACAGCAGAGAUUUGCAUGUCAGUGAAGCAAUUCAGCCAAAGAAAGUUUUCUAGCCAUUAAAACAGACACUGAUGAGGUGAAAUUUCUUUCCUGUAUGUGCUAAAUUUCAUAUCUUUCUGUUUAUAUCUUCUGCAUUCUCUGGAAUGCCCUAGAAAAUCUCAAAGGGAAGAAUCACAUUUAUUUGGAACAACAGAUGUCAUUCUUCACUUAUGCUCUCUAGUGCUUCUUUAUCAUGUGAUUUCUCAGUGCUCCUCUCUGUGCCAUGUGUCUUAGCGAAACUCUGGCCCCAGCACUCAGCCAGAGCAGCAGAGAUGUGUGCUGUGUGUGCCUUCAACAUGGACCUUCACCUGGUGUUCAUACAGAAAUGCUCCUUUCUUCUCAGCUGUUUUCCUGCUUGGUUCAUGAAAACUGACGUGUUUUUUACAUCAUGCAGUAAGAGUGUUGUAAUUUCCAUUUUCACUUUAGCAACCAUACCAUAGACAGGCAUCUUUCUCUAUGUGGGCCGGUUCCUAAUCCUGCCUUCCAGUAACAUGGUAAGUCUGUAAGCCACAAAACCAGUGCAGUUAUUUUGCUCACAUCUCAAGACUUGCAUGAGUUGUUCCUAGUGCCAAAUAGAGCCUUAGCACACCUGAAGGCAAAGCAAGGCUAUGACUGUAUGUGGUCCACUCCUUCUUCUUCAUCUGCAGUAAAAUCACUAGAGCAACAAAAUUACUGAAGGUCAGGAGGCCACUUAUCAGCCUGAAAAGAUCCUGUUUCCUUUUGGUUGCUAUUUGUGCAUGUUUAGAUAGAUUAAUGAGAAUGUUCUGGUUGAAAUCCUGCCUGUCAUACCUAUGUGAUUAAUCACAUUAUGAGCUAAACCUUGGGAAGGGCUAAACACUUGAAAGCAUAAUUCACUGUGUCUUGAUAUAAUACUUAUUUGUAGUUCUUGUUGAUUUUAAGCUAUUGAGUUCAGUACCUUUCAUCAAUAAGGCUGGAUUUCACCCUAAAUAUUUGCCUCUAAAAAUAAAAUCAAUUGUAAAUGGAUUAAACUCAGUGUCAUCCAAGCUGUAGUCCCCAAGAUAGAUAAAUAUUUGAUUAUGUGAUUUGUAGUUGUGCUCUGGCAUUCCCCUAAACUAUUCUGAAGUGAUAAAGAUGAAACACCUUCGCCUGUCAGUUAAUUUUUGGCAUCCUUCUAAACUGAAAAGGAAACUAAAAUGUUUCGGAAUUAAAUUUGAUAACAUAAUGAAAAGAAUUAAUAUUUACAAAUAGGCAAACACAGGGCUUGACAACUGUAAUUCUUGUGCCAUUCAAUAUAAUCAGUUCGUGCCUCUUCAGAAGCAAAAAGUCAAAUCUUCUUUGUAUAAAAAGCUCCCUUCAGCGAGCGGGUAGCAUAAUACCAAGCUUCCAGAACAUCCCUGCACUACCUGGUUCAUUUUUUACAAUUAAGGCUUCAUUUUUAAGAGGCAGUGUUCUAUUCUCUCAGCAUUCAAGUAAUCCGUGGCUCCUGUAUGGUUCCCAAGCCUCCAUUAUCUAUUACUUUACUAUUAUUCUCCCUGUAUUAGGCAUACAAAGCAUGAAGUGCAGGCACACAUGAGGCUAGGGAAUUCUUCAUAUUAUCUUUUGAUAAAUAAGUGAAAAAAGUAUUAACACAGGAUGGGAGUAUUAAAAUAAUCAACAGCCUUAUUGUAUGACAGCAUGGUAGCCAUAUUAAUAGGAAGAUUCAUAUGAUUACACAUGCACUGCCCUUUAAUGAUAUUCUGAGAAAUUUAUCAAGCAGGUGAACACUAAAACUGUCUGGCAGAGCAUGUAGGUACUACAUCGGGUAUAUUCCUUGAGCAUUUUUGCAUUCACAAAACUGUAAGCUGAAGAGACUACCAUGAUGCUUUUACUCACAAACAUUUCUGCAUCUUCUAUGAAAUUACCUCACUUAAUACAAGUUGAAGAACAGAAAAAGGUUCUCGCUUCACACAAGAUUCCUAAAGAUGAUUAUUCAGUUUUAAGAAAUCUGUAGUGGCUGCCAAAAGUGUUAGAAACCAAGUGCAACAGGUUCUGUUCAUUGUUAAAGAUGUUGUUUCAUGCAGGUAAUGCAAUCAUUCCAGAGGUGAUAACCCAGAGCAGAGUUUAGCCUUCACAAAAGGGCUUCUGCUACCUAAGAUUGCUGUAACUCAGUUAACAAAAGAUGUGUGACAUUCUCUAGUACCCUUCUAAGAGAGGCAAUAUAUUAAUUAAACUGAACAAAAGGCUGGAAAACAAGCUGUUCCUAUAGCUGAAGUAUGGGAUGCAGUGGAAGUAUUUCAGUGAACAGGAAUUUCAGUCACUUGGAUUUAAGCAGUUCUUAUUAUAUUGUGAUUUGACUAAGGUGGAAAAAGUUUCAGACCGAGGUCUAACCCUAAGUAUUUUUGUCAGUACAAUAUCUCACGCAUUUCUCAUAAGUUGCAUUCCUUGUCGCCACAGGUUGGACUAGAAGCAUAUUAGUCCAGUUUUGGCAAUAAUAGCAAGAAAAGCAUCACCCAUUCUUAGGGUGAUACCCAGCAGCCAGACAAGCCAACUGCGUAGAUCCAGGAAAGAAUCCAGAAUUCCUUCCUCUUGACAAGACCAAAGUUGUUGAGAAGUUUAAGCAACAGACCAUUUGGGCAAGAAAGAAACGUUAGAAACAACAAAAAAGCCAACUUCUUGAGAUUUUUUUAGAAUAUGCUGUAAGUCAAAACAAAGUUGGUUACUCUUUUGUUGUAUAUUAUGAAAAGAAAUAAUGUGACAAAUUCUACAAUCUGUAUUUACUGAAACAUAAGAAUUGCCACUUCCCCCACUAAAAGAGAGAUAGAAAUUGUAUUUCUUUGUACAAGAAAAAAAUAGGGUUGACAUGUACACAGUUAAGAGAAUACUAAGCUUUAAGAAAUGGCGUUCCCUAAAUAUCUGUUUCUGCCUCUGACCACCUUCCGUGUAACCCAGUCUUGCUGUCUAAGAUUCAUGGAAAUAUUAAAUUAACUGUCAUGUAGUUUUAAUAUGAACUUGUUUAAUGUGUUUGUGCAACGGGGAACAUAGAACUCAGGUGUUAUGCAUUACUGCCUGUACCAAUUAUUAAAAAAACUGAUUUAAAAAGGGACAAAUUAAAAAAAUAUGCAUUGUUAUUUAACUCUUACUUGACGAAAAGCUGAAUUUUGGUAGAAACAAACAACCAGAGCCUAAACUGUGUGUAUUAAGUAGUACUAAGCUCUUUUACUGCCAGGAUAGUAAUUAUGAUAGGGCUAGAUGGGUGCAAACCAUGGCUGAGGCUGGAAGCAACUCUGAUAGCAACAGGAAGUCAUCAUAUGCAGGUGAAACAGAAAGAAAAAAAAAAAGGCAACUGUUUUUCCACUCUAUACUCCUUUCCCAGUAUUUCUUUAUUCUGCCAGUCAUGGACAGAAACAGCUAUUACAUCUAUUUUCAAUGUAUCUUGAGGUAUUUGUCUUUAAAACAUGGCUCACGGCUCUCCCUUUCAGUCCAUUGUUCAUUCUGAAACAGUACAUAGAACUAUGUCACCCCUCAGCUCUGAAAUGAGCAAGGUGGACACAAGACCACACGUGAACCAAGGAUACGCAACUAGGAAAAUAACAACAGAGCAGAAUGUAACUAAGGGAGCCUGGUGCAAACUGACAGGUUGUUUACAUUGACAGAGUAUGAAAUAUACAGCUACCAAGAAAAUAUGAAAACAGAGACUCUGCUCAGAUUUUACUGUGGGAUCAAUCCUUACUUAAGGAUGAGAUAUAUUCCUGAGUAACCUCUUUACAUUUCCCAAAGGAUUUUUUCACUAAUAAGCCAAUAUAUCUCUUUGUUACAGCUCUUUCCUGCAACACAUAAAAUUGAGUUUUACCUGAUAUAUCUCUGUAGGCUGAAUUCAUCAGGCUUAUAUAAUGCUAGUAGAGAGCCAAAGAGCAAUCUAGCCAUCAAUGGCCUUCUAUCAUGGAAAACAGAGAUGAAAUAGACUUCAAGAUGUCUUCCAGUCAAUUUACUUAGCCCAUUACCUUCUGGCACUCCUGCUGACAUCAGUUUGCCUAUCCUAAAAGCCACAAGUAAGGGGAAAUACAUUGCAGUCUCCUCAAAGGAUGAAAAACAAAAACAAAACAACACAAAACAAAAACUUUGCAAGCUUUAUAGAUAGACAAAAGACAAUAGAUGCAAAAUCUGUUACUUUAGGGAGGGUGUUGACUGUCACUCCUGACCUUUUUGUAAGGAUACUGCAGAAAAAACAGUCCAGGUGGAAGCUACCAUGAAACAAGUACAGAAGUGACUCGAAAAAUAAUAGUAGUUCUUAAUGGCUCAAUAUCAAAUGGCAAAAUUCUACCAAAUGCAUUUUCACAUUAAUGAUCCAAAUCCUUGAGUAGACAGUGCACUUAAUAAGUUUGUGUGUCUGUCAGGUGGAAAAGAUUGCACUUACUUUGGCAGAUAAAGAGCAUUUAAAAUGGUCUUGGCAACUCAAGAAAAUAAUCCGUGUACAACAUUAUGUUUCUGUGGGAAUAAUCAACUACAGAAGUUCAACUUGAAGAACAUCUAUGAAGCAGUUUUGCAGGAAAGGAGCUGGGGAUGGAAUGACUUACAGACCAAAAAGGCUUUACCAACUCAUACUUUUGCAAUGAGGCAUCAUCUGAGGUAUUAAUACAACUAUCGAUAGUCAAGAGUCACUAAGUAACACACAUGAGUAAAAGCCUUACAAUAGGAAUAGUCUGCUCUAAGUACCAUGGUUUAGAAACUAUUGUAUUAGUGGAAAGAUUCCCCAGUAGACUAGCAACAACAGGAAACACAUGGGACAGGGUGGGGUUUGGGGAGCCAGAGAAGACAGGCAUAUUUAUUUAGUCUAGAGACUACACUGCAAUGAGAAAAUUAAUAAGUAUUUCCCCGUGUCUCCUGGAUGUAGAAGGUGGAGCAAUAACCCUGAAUUGCGUAUAGAUUAGAUGGUUUGAGUGUGUGGAUGGUAAGGGCAAGAAUGCUUUAUGUAGGAAAGAGUACAGCAUCUCCUAGAAAAAGACUUUUGUUAGGAAACUUUCAGACAGAGUUCUUGCUGUUGGGAAUGAACUAGAUAAUCUUAAAAGAUUCCUUCUAGCUGUAUUCUCUAUUGUUUUAUCUGUAAGAGCUGAGCAUCCAGCUCCUGUUCUCAACUAGUUUUAAAAAAGCUUGUGAUACAGUCUUGGCCUGAUGUAUAUAACGGCUCACCAGCUUAGAUCAUUAAUUUCCUGCUGUGGUCCUCAUCUACACAAUGUAUGCCAUUCUUACCACAGUCAAUACUGCUGUCUUCACUGAUCUCUCCAGCACUGUUGCCAAAAGCCCAUGUUUUCUGUCCUACCUUGUGUUUGUCUCUCUGGCAUAUUAGUGGAGGCCAGAUUCCUUUUCCAAAGCCAUAGCUGUUUGGCUUUUCUAACCAUGGCUUCUUUCAUCAGCAGCUCUGCAUCAGUGACACAAUAUAAAGUUCCAUAAAUUGCCACGGAGGCACCCCGUAGGUUAAUUUAAGGGACAACAAGGUCCAAAACAACUUUUAUUAAACUGGUGAGAAACAGGGUUUUAGCACUCCAAAAGUGACUUAAAUAAAGUUUUGGAUAUCAGUCUAGGAAAAUUAUUUAAGAGGCAGCAACCAAUACAACAGGCGGUCCACAGUGUGCAUGCACGUGGCUUCACCCAAAACAAUGGCGGAGCCGUCCCUGAGUCCCAGAGAAGUACACACUUGCCUAAACACAGUGUGGGAUUAUUUUUAAAGAGAUACACGUACUCGUAGUGAGUACGGAAAGUCAGUACACUUGUGAUUGUGCGAGGGUAAAUUUAUAAUACACCCGCAAUCCUG